ensembl:processed_transcript Gm16551 predicted gene 16551
UUUCGAUUGUAACUGGGACAAUUUGCAUAGUGAUUCCCUUUCAGAGCUUUCUCGGGCCCAUAACAAGCGCAGGCAGCUAUUCAAAUGCAAGUUGCGUCCCUAAAUGCGCGGCUGGCCUGAGCUAAAGGAGCAGCUCGUCACCGUGCGAGCCGAGACCAGCGUUGGGGUUCUGGGUCACCUCUUUUCUCCCGGCUUUUCCCUCGCUCUCCGGUUCCUGAAUUAGCUGUUUGUUUAUGGCUCCAGACGUGUGUGCCAGCGAGCCGAGGCAGCGUGCAAGGGAGAAAAUUGAUCUUUCCUCAGACUCAAAGCUGGAGCCGAAGAAGUGCGGGGGAUUUGGGGGUUCUGAGUGGGACUCAGACCCUAGGUGCUGAGGGGAAGCUCGUGGGCUCUCUGGCCCGCUUCUCUAACCCCAGCGACCUUGCAGGAAUCCUCAGGCCUGAGAGCGCCCGGGCUCUGGGCUUUGCAGAAAGUGGCGGCGGCUGUGUCCCGGGUUUUAAAAUCAACGCAAAGGAAAGGAGGCAAAGCUGAAAGCUUGUCGCGUGUCAGAAGCAACCUGCCGUGAAAUCCGCUAAUGCGCCCCGACUCGCCCUUCGCGGAACAGUCGUUCAAGAAGAGAUGGCCAUAAGGGCAGAUCAAUCAUUUCAAUGGGAUUAAAAUAUGGUGGAAGGAACAGUUGAGCUGAGAUUAUUUCAACCCAUCCUUUGGUCUUACAAGAGAUGCAAGCACUCUAUACUACUGGAAAGGAGUUCAAGAAAGAAAAGAAAAGAAGGAAGGUAGAUUUGGUUUCUAGAAAAUAUUUUGUACUUGAGUGUAUCUGAAGCAAUGAUAAAUAAAUUAAAUUAGUAUUA